AUUGAACGCUGGCGGCAUGCCUUACACAUGCAAGUCGAACGGCAGCACGGGAGCAAUCCUGGUGGCGAGUGGCGAACGGGUGAGUAAUAUAUCGGAACGUGCCCAGUCGUGGGGAUAACGUAGCGAAAGCUACGCUAAUACCGCAUACGAUCUAAGGAUGAAAGCGGGGGACUCGCAAGAGCCUCGCGCGAUUGGAGCGGCCGAUAUCAGAUUAGGUAGUUGGUGGGGUAAAGGCUCACCAAGCCAACGAUCUGUAGCUGGUCUGAGAGGAUGAUCAGCCACACUGGGACUGAGACACGGCCCAGACUCCUACGGGAGGCAGCAGUGGGGGAAUAUUGGACAAUGGGCGAAAGCCUGAUCCAGCAAUGCCGCGUGAGUGAUGAAGGCCUUAGGGUUGUAAAGCUCUUUUACCCGAGAUGAUAAUGACAGUAUCGGGAGAAUAAG
rnacentral:rRNA from 1 species